UACGAAGGGAGCUAGCGUUGUUCGGAAUCACUGGGCGUAAAGCGCACGUAGGCGGAUGUGUCAGUCAGGGGUGAAAUCCCGGAGCUCAACUUCGGAACUGCCCUUGAUACAGCACAUCUUGAGUCCGGAAGAGGUGGGUGGAAUUCCUAGUGUAGAGGUGAAAUUCGUAGAUAUUAGGAAGAACACCGGUGGCGAAGGCGGCCCACUGGUCCGGUACUGACGCUGAGACGCGAAAGCGUGGGGAGCGAACAGG
rnacentral:rRNA from 1 species